rnacentral:tmRNA from 1 species
GGGGAUGACUGGCUUCGCUGGUGGUUUCCUUUUGUUAUGUGCAAUAUCGAGUAUUCUAUUAAGCUCGUAAAAAAAUAGAACAGCUUAAGUGCAGACUUAACUAAAACAGCAGGAAGAAUGGUUUCACCUUACUUCACUGCUCCAGCAUUGGCGUUCGCUUAAUUCGUUAAACGAAAAGUCCAUAAUUCGCUUUAAAGCGACUGGUGUCAUCUAGAUGAAUUUCUAAAUAAUCUAUUUCGGCAUAAUAUUUUUAGGAUAUAGAAAUUUAAUUUUUUCGCUAAAUUUCCGAAACUAAGAAAAUCGAGAUUAUAAGGUUUUGUUUAUUUCUAACUUAUUUUCUCUAAACACAAAAAAUAAAAUAUAUAUUGUAAAUUCAUUCCAAAAUUAUCAUCACAUGCGGGUUCGAUUCCCGCCGUCUCCACAA